UACGUAGGGGGCGAGCGUUGUCCGGAAUCAUUGGGCGUAAAGAGCGUGUAGGCGGUCCGGUAAGUCCGUUGUGAAAGUCCAGGGCUCAACCCUGGGAUGCCGGCGGAUACUGCCGGACUAGAGUCCGGAAGAGGCAAGUGGAAUUCCCGGUGUAGCGGUGAAAUGCGCAGAUAUCGGGAGGAACACCGACGGCGAAGGCAGCUUGCUGGGACGGUACUGACGCUGAGACGCGAAAGCGUGGGGAGCAAACAGGAUUAGAUACCCGAGUAGU
rnacentral:rRNA from 1 species